GUUGACAAUGGUCCUAUCUCUUUAAAAAGAAAAAAAAAAGGCGUCUGGGCGGGGAGGGGGGUGCUGCUGACUGCGGCAGGGCACCCAGUGGCCUGGACCAGUGGCUGCGGCGGCAGUCACGCUGGAAACUGCUGAUGUGACAGAAGGACAACAAAGGCCUGGGACGCGACACUGGCCGGGAUCAGGGACUGCGCGAGGACCCGGCUAGAUGUCACAGGAGAGGCCGGGAGCCCACAGGAGGCGGGCGCAGCUGAUGGGGCCCCGUCCAUCUGCUGAGAGCCAGGCUAGGACCCGGGCGCCCAGGCUCUGAGGUCGUUUUCCAGGACUGCUGGUCGUUGCCCAGGGAUACUGCCUUCUGAGAGGACAGAGAUGCUUCUUUACCGCCUUGUGCCCUGAUCCCAGAAGUGAUGCCAAGAUAUAGGUGUUCCCAGAGCAAGAAGAAAGACCCUGGCCGAGGAGUAUUUCACAUCUGCUGAGAUGAGGUGGGGACCACACGGAGCCCGAGAACUUCUACAGCAUCUCCCCGCCAUGCUCAAGAAGAAACACCAAAGCUCUUCAGAUGAAAAGAGCUCACCUUUGCUUCGGGGAAAAGCCAAAAACCACUAGUUAAUCAAAACCAUUUUACCUUAAGAACGUCUGUGGGUUGUUGGAGCAGAAGGAUCAGAGCCCAAGGAGGCAACUCUUUCAGACUGGAGGAUCAUACUGUAAGGACCCGAAACACAGAGCACAGCAAUGCUCUUGGACAUCAGGUGAUGAAAGGACACUGAGGGGAAAACAGCCUUUUCACUGGCCUGGCGGAGCUGAGCCUGGAGCACACGUUUAAGGCAAACACAGAGGAAAGACUCAGAAGAAAGAAAACACAUUUUCAUGGUUUUCACAGACAGAUGUUCCAGGACAAGUGAUGACGGAGACCAAGGAUAAUAGGUGGCUCCGGGUGACCGUGCUGCCCGGCUGCGUGGGCUGCAGGACGGUGGCGGUCCCCGCGUCCUGGACGGUGCGCGACGUGAAGCGGCGCCUCGCGGCCGAGACGGCUUCCCCACGGCGGAGCAGCGGCUGUGGCUGGCGGCGGCCGCAGGUAGGGCGGCCCGGGCCCGCGGCGGGAG
rnacentral:lncRNA from 1 species